GACGAACGCUGGCGGCGUGCCUAAUACAUGCAAGUCGAACGAAGCGGCGACUGGUUGAGUAACGCUUGGGUAACCUGCCCUUAAGUCUGGGAUCCCAUUUGGAAACAGAUGCUAAUACCGGAUACUGAAGGAUGGACCUGCGGUGCAUUAGCUAGUUGGGAAGGUAGCGGCUUACCACGGAGAUUAUGCAGAGCCGUGUUGAGAGACUGAUCGGCAACAUUGGGACUGAGACACGGCCCAAACUCCUACGGGAGGCAGCAGGAGGGAAUCUUCCACAAUGGACGAAAGUCUGAUGGAGCAAGGCCGCGUGAGUGAAGAAGGUUUUCGGUUCGUAAAGUUCUUUUGUCGGGGAAGCGGUAAUCAACCAGAAAGUCACGGCUAACUACGUGCCAGCCGCCGCGGUAAUUC
rnacentral:rRNA from 1 species